CCCUUUUCUCUUCUCGGUGGACAGCAGUCCACGACUGCUUCUUCUCUUCUUUUUGUUAUUCUUUUCUUCUUCUUUCUUCCUUUUCUCGCACAAACACAGUGAGACAGAGAGAGUCGGAGAGACUGAGGGAGGAGAGAAAUAGGGAGAUGAGACCGAGAGAGAACCGAGUGAUGUGAGAGCCGAGAGAUUUUGAGAGAGAUGAGAUCGGGAGAGUUGAGGAGUGAUCGGAGCCCGAUCCUCUGGUGGGUGGCGCCGUUAAGACCAGAGGACGCCGGCGACGCGAUCUCCGGUGAGCCCGUGAACCAGAGAUGACCCGGGAGAGAGAGAACCCGAAACCUGUAGAACCCAUGACCCACGACCCGUGAGGACCCGAUCCUCCAUGAUCGGCGACUGGGACGGAAAUCCGGCGAUGGAGGAGCUCUGGCGGAAUCCAGGAGCUUGAACCCGCGACCCGUGAGCCCAGAAAACCCGAGGACCCGUGACCGUGACCCGUGCGACCCGCAACCCGCCUGACCCGAGAAGAAGACCCGGUUCUUCAAAGUGAUUUCCGGCGACUUUUCCGGCGGAAUUAGUGGCGUUUUUCGAUGGAUUGGCUAUGAAAAUUCUUGGGGAUCAUGUUCGGAUUGGAGACUUUAAUUGGUUCUCCAAUGUAGAGUCCAAGUGACUAGGGUUCAAGGGAGUGUUCGAGUUGGAGUCCAAUGCAGCCAAGAUGAUGUUUCUUUGGCUGCAGGUACUUCGGUAUAGUCGAUGGGUCGGUAGCAGUGUGCUUGGGAUAUUAUGACUGAAGCUCACCGCGACGGUUGUAAUUGUCGGACCACAGGCUGUCCACUGUUUUAUAGGUUUGGUAUAGCUUGUGACGUUUGUGUCACAUAUUCUUUGUAAAGUCAUUAUUGUUUUGUAAAUAUUGUGUUAAUAAGACUCAUACAGAUAAACGUUAAAUGGCUCUAUGUGGUAAUUAAUUUGUAAUAG